UGAACGCUAGCGGCAGGCUUAACACAUGCAAGUCGAGGGGUAUAGUAGCAAUACUAGAGACCGGCGCACGGGUGCGUAACGCGUAUGCAAUCUACCUUUCACAGAGGGAUAGCCCAGAGAAAUUUGGAUUAAUACCUCAUAGUAUAAUGAGUUGGCAUCAACCCAUUAUUAAAGUCACAACGGUGAAAGAUGAGCAUGCGUCCCAUUAGCUAGUUGGUAUGGUAACGGCAUACCAAGGCGACGAUGGGUAGGGGUCCUGAGAGGGAGAUCCCCCACACUGGUACUGAGACACGGACCAGACUCCUACGGGAGGCAGCAGUGAGGAAUAUUGGACAAUGGGCGCAAGCCUGAUCCAGCCAUGCCGCGUGCAGGAUGACGGUCCUAUGGAUUGUAAACUGCUUUUGUACAGGAAGAAACAGUUCUACGUGUAGAGCCUUGACGGUACUGUAAGAAUAAGGAUCGGCUAACUCCGUGCCAGCAGCCGCGGUAAUACGGAGGAUCCAAGCGUUAUCCGGAAUCAUUGGGUUUAAAGGGUCCGUAGGCGGGUUAAUAAGUCAGUGGUGAAAUCUCCCCGCUCAACGGGGAAACGGCCAUUGAUACUGUUAGUCUUGAAUUAUUAGGAAGUAACUAGAAUAUGUAGUGUAGCGGUGAAAUGCUUAGAGAUUACAUGGAAUACCAAUUGCGAAGGCAGCUUACUAGCGGUUUACUGACGCUGAUGCACGAAAGCGUGGGGAUCAAACAGGAUUAGAUACCCUGGUAGUCCACGCCGUAAACGAUGAUAACUCGCUGUUGGCGAUACACAGUCAGCGGCUUAGCGAAAGCGUAAGUAUCCAC
rnacentral:rRNA from 1 species